rnacentral:rRNA from 1 species
CCUACGGGUGGCAGCAGUGGGGAAUAUUGGGCAAUGGGCGCAAGCCUGACCCAGCAACGCCGCGUGAAGGAAGAAGGCUUUCGGGUUGUACACUUCUUUUCUGGGGGACGAACAAAUGACGGUAACCCAGGAAUAAGCCACGGCUAACUACGAGCCAGCAGCCGCGGUAAUACGGAGGGGGCAAGCGUUAUCCGGAUUUAUUGGGGGUAAAGGGCGUGGAGGCGGGAAUGCAAGUCAGAUGUGAAAGCUCAGGGCUCAACCCUGAGCCUGCAUUUGAAACUGUGUUUCUUUAGGGCUGGAGAGGCAAUCGGAAUUCCGUGUGUAGCGGUGAAAUGCGUAGAUAUACGGAGGAACACCAGUGGCGAAGGCGGAUUGCUGGACAGUAACUGACGCUGAUGCGCGAAAGCGUGGGGAGCAAACAGGAUUAGAUACCCCGGUAGUC